CCUCCCACUGGACCCGGGGCUGGGCGCUUUCCUGUCAGCUCCUGGGCACUGUAAGAGA
ensembl:miRNA